rnacentral:rRNA from 1 species
UACGUAGGUGGCAAGCGUUGUCCGGAUUUACUGGGCGUAAAGAGCGCGCAGGCGGUUGGAUAAGUCGAAUGUGAAAGCCCCCGGCUUAACUGGGGAGGGUCAUUCGAUACUGUUCAACUUGAAGGCAGGAGAGGGCAGCAGAAUUCCCGGUGUAGUGGUGAAAUGCGUAGAUAUCAGGAGGAACACCGGUGGCGAAGGCGGGUCUCUGGGCCGAUACUGACGCUGAGGAGCGAAAGCGUGGGGAGCGAACAGG